AUUGAACGCUGCCGGAAUGCUUUACACAUGCAAGUCGAACGGCAGCACGUACUUCGGUCUGGUGGCGAGUGGCGAACGGGUGAGUAAUGUAUCGGAACGUGCCAAGUCGUGGGGGAUAACGUAGUGAAAAUUACGCUAAUACCGCAUACGAUCUAUGGAUGAAGGCGGGGGAUCGCAAGACCUCGCUCGUGUGGAAGGGCCGAUAUCAGAUUAGGUAAUUGGUGGGGUAAAGGCCCACCAAGCCAACGAUCUGUAGCUGGUCUGAGAGCACGACCAGCCACACUGGAACUGAGACACGGUCCAGACUCCUACGGGAGGCAGCAGUGGGGAAUUUUGGACAAUGGGCGAAAGCCUGAUCCAGCCAUUCCGCGUGCAGGAUGAAGGCCCUCGGGUUGUAAACUGCUUUUGUACAGAACGAAAAGGUUUCUACUAAUACUAGGAGCUCAUGACGGUACUGUAAGAAUAAGCACCGGCUAACUACGUGCCAGCCGCCGCCGUAA
rnacentral:rRNA from 1 species